CCUUCUCAGAUCAACCGAGUUGGCAAGGCCUGGCUCUUGGUUGGUGAGCUGUGCCCAAGGCUUUGAGACAUGCCUUCCAGUUGCACGUUGUGUUCCUUGUUGCGUUGACCUCUUGAGCUCCAGCCCUACGGGAGGAUCCGAGCAGUAGCGCGGAAGGAAUGGUUUAGAGUGGAAGUGCACUGCAAAGGGCCGGAGGCAGCAGGAGCAGGGAAGUGAUCAUCGCCACUGUACUGUACUCAGCACUGGAAAGGCAUCUGCUGGGUGAGUGCUUUGCUGGGUGAGCAUCACCCUGCUGGAAAGCAGGCAGCUGUUGUCUUUGCAGACAGCCAGAUCCACGGGGAUUGGAAGCCUUUGGAACUGGAACUUUGUCUUUCCCGUCUCAUGCCCAACAACUCAUGCUGUUUGAAAGCAGCACCUUAGAGGCAACCUUGAUUUCUCCAGCCUUCUCCGAGCUUUCCUAGAAUCCUAGAAUCGCUAAGGUUGGAAAAGA